GUACACGGGGCCUCUCUGCUUGUACAAAACGAACAAAUAAUCGAUUCGUCAUCGAUGUCAACAAUGGCGGUUGUUUCUUCUGCGACAUGAAGGUUGUCUCUUAGGCCUGGAUAAAACUGGCAGAUCAUCAUGCAGAUCAUCAUGCUCACUCUCAAUUUGAGUUGGAAUGGGGAAUGAUUCGUUAGAGUUGGUGAUCUGAAACAGAUGGCUUGUUGAAUAUGGGCAAAAACACAUCGGAUAAGUUGGAUUGUAUGAGGCCUUGUUGAACUAAUGGGUUUUCUUUGAUAAAGUGGUCAAAUGCAUGACACAGUACAGAUGUUGCACAACUGCUGGAACUGCUGAAAUCAUAUUUAUGAAAUGAAAAGUGAAGUGAGUAAAUUGUAUAUUGCCAAAAAGAGGAA